ensembl:lncRNA
AGCACACUUAUCUGAAGAUUUGAGAACACGCAUGCACCAGCCUAAUCAGAAGAAAAGUCCAAUUCCACCCAGAGGGCUACAACAAACUCUUCCCUUUUCCAUACAAGGAAUUAAAUGAAUAAAACUGUGUGAGAUUUUACUGGGAGAGAGUACAAAGUAUACACAGUGAAAUGUUCAGAUCUUGAGUACACUUGGCGCAUUACGAUAAAUGGAAAUUUAUUACCCGAAUCAAAUCUUUUGCGUCAAAGUUCCCACAAGUCCCCUCCCAGCCCUCAAGAGACAGCCACUGUUCAUUCUCGAGGAGUGUUCUUGGUGCUCUUCCGUCGCCCGAGACUCGCAUAGAUUCUCCAUCGUCACAUGGACUCCACGGCGUGGUGUUCACUCUCUGCUCAAUUCAAGGCUCCUGGAACUCAUCCCCGUUGUCUGUUUUGGUUUCAGUAUUUUGUACGUUUUUCCUGAUGGGAACUAGGACAAUGUAUGAAUAUAUCAGAAUUUGCUCAUGUUUCUCCAGAUGAGAGAGAUUUAUGUUGUUUCCAGUUCUUGGCUCUGACAAUUUACUCUGGAGAUAAUGUGCAUUCUUUUACAAGGACACACAUUUUCAGCUCUCCUUGGUGAACGUCUACAGCGUACCUGCUGGGCCAUAUGGAUGGAAAUAGCUUCACUCUCAUCCACUGUGCACACUGCAGCCCACGCCUCUCGUCCACCGCGCCACACUGCAGCCUGCAAUUCACCCUGUACCAGGCUUUCCACACCGUACCUGAAAGUCACUAAGUAUAACCAAGAAGGAAAUGAAAAGCAGAUAAAUGACCUCCACCCCUACAUCCAGCAUGCAAAUGUUAAACAUUCAUCAAAGUAAAACCAAAAUCCCAUGUUAGCUCACGAUUGUAACUGGUAGAGUUAUGUGCAUGGCAAUUUAAAAAGUCUAGUUAAGUAAAAACCUAAUUGAGACUCUCAAGAAAGACAUCUGCAAAGAUUGACAGUGAGGAGAGGACUUCACUCUGCAUCCAGCCUGUUCUGGAAGCCACGGCCAAAUCUCAGGUUGUAUAGAUCCGAAAAGCAGGAAAAAACAAGUGUUGAAAGGUGUACAGUCUCAGCAAUGUACAAAUUCGAUGUAGGAUGCUCAGAAACCUUGAAUUUCCAAUCAGGAAACAGCAACAUGAGCAAGUUUCCCAGCAGUGCCCACUUUCUACCUACGGCACGUGUAACAGUUACGCUGGCCACCUCCGGGGGGACAGAGGCUUCCUGGUCACAUUCGCUCUGGCAGCCACACAGCUGGCCCCGCCAAACACCUGUCUAAUACUGAGGAACCACUCUCUCCCUGGGCUUUGCUCACUCUAGCCAGGAGAGCAUAUUUACAGAGUACUUUACUGAGUCCUCGUUCAAUGCGUCAAGCUUGUUGAAGGCAGGGCAACCCCAUUCCUGGCCCAAUUAAGUGAACUGAGCAGAGCAAAUGCCUCCAGUUGGACGGCACUCAGUCACAACAGCAGUGGCCACUGUUCACAGGGCGCUGGCUUCGUGCCGAGAACAGUUACAAGCGUCUUCUCUCUGUCCGAGGAAUGUGCACUGCAACCCUGUGGGGCCGUUUGCAACGUCCACCAGAGUUCUGAGGCAGCCAAGUCCAGGCUGUCCGUGGGCCUUGCCACGUGGCCGUCCACGUCCCCUGCAGAUCAGACCUCACUGCAGGGACCACGGGUUCCAGGGCUGCCUUGAGGCACAUGCUCCCUUCACCACCUCCUCCUGGCCCCUGACAUCAACCCUCACCACUGCUGCCAACACUUGAUUUUCUCAUGGCUCCUGAGGGGCCUGUUCUGCCCUUCCCUGCUCCCUGCGUCCGGCUUGGAGGGUACCCACAUCAACGCCAACGCUCACGUAAUCACCAACCUUUCCACGGGGCUUGAUGCCUAGGAGUCUCAAUAUCAGAAAGUCAGAUUCCUGUGCUUGUUGGAGAAUUUCUUCCCAUUGUACAAGUGAAGGAGAUAAAAUUCUAGGUGCCUGCAAUAACCUCAUUUCCACAACGAAGCAACUUCAGUAGUAGCACAAAACAAACAAACAAAAAAA